GUGGAAGUUAAAAUGGAGGACGGCUCAGCAGGCGACUUAUUGACUGUAAUGUUGCCAUUAGCUAGCAGUACUGAGUGUCUCACUAUAUCCACAUACAUCCCGUUGCCUAAUCAACCAUUUAAGGACUGGUAUUGCAGGAAUAUGUGUUAAAGGAGGGCUUUUGAGGUAUUUGCCGCAAUCUGAAUAAGCUUGAAGCUUCUCCCCCACCACUUAAAUGCAACACAGCCCUUGUUCCUGUAAUGCUUAAGCCCUUCACAUGCCUGAGGAUCUUGCACUACGUUGCUGGUCAAGAUGCCAUCCCAAUAGGAUAACGAUGCGGGAAUGUGAGGAUCUAGAUGGUGGUUGUGGGAGCCACACAACUGGGAAUAGAGUACCUAAUGACUUGCAGGGCUAUCCAAUGACAUUUCUAUCAAUGACAACACAAUACCUGAACCUUCACCAGCUUCUGAUGGAAAGAUUUCUCCUUUGCCACAGUUGGGUAUCCUUUAAUCUUUUUACGGCACACACUUCAACAGCUUGGAUUGACACAUCUUUCAAAGAGGUGGCAGUAGGCCAUCCUUAAUCUACAACGUUGUAGCCAUUGUGUGCUCACUUUACACUCUCAGGUUGAGGGUACUACUCCAUCCUUCAUCAGUAAGGACAGCCUUUUCAAUGGCGCAAAAAAACCCAAACACAAAUAAAAUAAAGGACCUGCCUGCAUCAUGACAGAACCAUCUGGCUUUUUCAAC